GGAGAUUGUAGCAAUACGGUCUUAGUGGCGAACGGGUGAGUAACGCGUUGGUGAUCUGCCUUGAAGUGUGGAAUAACGGUUCGAAAGAACCGCUAAUACCGCAUAGUCUCUCGAUCUUCAGAAAAUUGAGAGUAAAGGAUUUAUCCGCUUCAAGAGGAGCCUGCGUCCCAUCAGCUAGUUGGUAGGGUAAGAGCCUACCAAGGCUAUGACGGGUAGGGGACCUGAGAGGGUGACCCCCCACAAUGGAACUGAAACACGGUCCAUACACCUACGGGUGGCAGCAGUAGGGAAUAUUAGUAAUGGAGGAAACUCUGAACUAGCGAUACCGCGUGUGCGAAGAAGGCCUUCGGGUUGUAAAGCACUUUUUGAGAGGAUGAGGAAGGAUGGUACUCUCAGAAUAAGUCUCGGCUAACUACGUGCCAGCAGCCGCGGUAACACGUAGGAGGCAACCGUUAUCCGGAUUUACUGGGCGUAAAGCGCGUGUAGGUGGUACUGUAAGUAGGGCGUGAAAGCUCCUGGCUCAACUGGGAGAGGCCGUUCUAAACUGCAGAACUCGAGUUUGAUAGAGGAAGAUGGAAUUCCAGGUGUAGCGGUAUAAUGCGCAGAUAUCUGGAGGAACACCAGUGGCGAAAGCGGUCUUCUAGAUCAAUACUGACACUCAGACGCGAAAGCUAGGGUAGCAAACGGGAUUAGAGACCCCGGUAGUCCUAGCCCUAAACGAUGUAGACUAGGCGUUGGUGGCUUAAUCGCCAUCAGUGUCCAAGCUAACGCGAUAAGUCUACCGCCUGGGGACUACGGCCGCAAGGUUAAAACUCAAAGGAAUUGACGGGUCCCCGCACAAGCAGCGGAGCGUGUGGUUUAAUUCGUUUUUCUACACGAAGAACCUUACCUGGGUUUGACAUAGCAGUGGUAGGGAAGCGAAAGCGGACCGACCCUUCGGGGAGCUGUUACAGGUGUUGCAUGGCUGUCUUCAGCUCGUGUCGUGAGAUGUUCGGUUAAGUCCGCUAACGAGCGCAACCCGCGUGGUGUGUUACAAGUGUCACACCAUACUGCCGAUAUUAAGUCGGAGGAAGGUGCGGAUGACGUCAAGUCAGCAUGACCUUUAUAUCCAGGGCUACACACACGCUGCAAUGGUCGGUACAACAGGUUGCCAAGCCGCGAGGCGGAGCCAAUCCUCUAAAGCCGACCUCAGUUCAGAUUGCAGGCUGCAACUCGCCUGCAUGAAGUUGGAGUUGCUAGUAACCGUAGGUCAGCUAUACUGCGGUGAAUACGUUCCCGGGGAUUGUACACACCGCCCGUCAAGUCAUGGGAGCUGGCAACACCUGAAGCUGGUAUCCUAACCCGUAAGGGAGGGAGCUAUCAAAGGUGGGGUCGGUGACUGGGACUAAGUCGUAACAAGGUA
rnacentral:rRNA from 1 species